AAGUUCCCUCUGGGAAGUAAAAAUCCUUUGUUCUCAACAGCCACUUCGCUCUCUUGCUCCCUUGCUCCCUUGCUCAGAUCCCUAACUAUUUGAGUAAAAGAAUGCGGCCAAGAAAUAAGAUGAACCACAGAAGAAGAAAGAAAAUGAGUCCAAGAGAGUUCUUAAGUGCCAAUCUAAGCACAUGCAGAUCAAAAGUUGGAAUGGGUGAAUUUGGCAAAAAGAUUUAAUACCAUAUGUUCAGUAUGGCACUUCUGUUGCUUUUCAUCAUAAUUUGGGUGUAGCUAUCCAAAAACUGAAGGACACUGGAUAGUCUGGAUUAGAUUUGGACUGUGGACUAGUCAAGGAGCCCUUUUAUGAAGAUCUAGAAUUCAGAACAAAAUUCCUUUAUUGUUUGUUAUCAAGCACUUAAUUUGACCUUCGAAAUGGAUGACCAAGCAUAGGAGAUAAGAGAUAACUAGCAAUAAAGAUAGACUCAAUUGGGUAGAAUUAUGAGGCUUUACUAAGUUUUGUUUAUUUUUUAAAAGUUCUGAGUGGACAAAUUUGUAGUUUUUGUAGAGAAAGUGCUCUUAAUAGUUGAAAAUAAUCUCAAUAGAUUAUCAACAAAUUGUUUUCCUAAUCUGUCUAAUUAAUCAUUGUUAAGCGACGAUUGAUAUGACAUUU